rnacentral:rRNA from 1 species
GCAGUAGCCGCGGUAAUACAGAGGGUGCGAGCGUUAAUCGGAUUUACUGGGCGUAAAGCGUGCGUAGGCGGCUUCUUAAGUCGGAUGUGAAAUCCCUGAGCUUAACUUAGGAAUUGCAUUCGAUACUGGGAAGCUAGAGUAUGGGAGAGGAUGGUAGAAUUCCAGGUGUAGCGGUGAAAUGCGUAGAGAUCUGGAGGAAUACCGAUGGCGAAGGCAGCCAUCUGGCCUAAUACUGACGCUGAGGUACGAAAGCAUGGGGAGCAAACAGGAUUAGAUACCCGUGUAGUCCUUGUCUCUUAUAC